GAGAGAACAAUGGCCUGACUCAAGUGUGAAUGAGAGACACGGAAUAUCAGCAUGCAAUUACUGAGCUUAUAUCACUCAUCUAGUGUGUUGCUUUGCUUUGAAUAAUGAGACACACAACAUGGAGGCUUUGCAGACAUCUUGGACUUUUACGGCAGGAUACAGGACAGAUGGCUGAGUACACUGCUUUUAAGAGAAAUCUGAAACCACCCACCUUAGGAAGAAAAGAAAAAAAGUCCAUAAAGAAAAACUAUCACCUUGGAAUUAAAUGCUUCUUGUUAUUAUUGUUGUUUUUCAUUGUAUAUAUGUUUCUGAGAUAUUUUAAUGCAUCAAAAUCAUGCCAACUACUUCUUAAUAUAUUUUACCAUGGUUUAUCAUAAAUGGCCAUCAUGGCUCCUGUCACACUAAUUUGAUCUUCUGUUACUGCUUGGCCAUCUGUGGACUUUUUGUUGGAAUUUCACUAAUUUUUUUCUCAGACUUGCUCCAACAUUUUCAUAGCAGUUAUAAAUCCUCAAUAAAACAAAAUAUCUGAACUGCAGGUUUUUCUAAAGUUUUCAAUUUGUAGUCCUUCAUGUAUUGACAGACCCUGCCUCACACACUUCCUGAGGUGUCAAAGCAAUCACUGUAAACUGGGAACUGCAAUACUUCAUAGAACUUGUACAAGACAUACAAACUACUGAUAUUCCCCAGUGCCUGUAAUAAAAAGAUGUGUUUUUAACCCUUAA